CAAGAUAGAGCAUGAAUAUGCAUUUCACUUACAAUGAAAAUAUAGAACAAUUUCUUAUCUUGA
rnacentral:tRNA from 1 species